rnacentral:rRNA from 1 species
CCUACGGGAGGCAGCAGUGAGGAAUAUUGGUCAAUGGACGAGAGUCUGAACCAGCCAAGUAGCGUGAAGGAUGACUGCCCUAUGGGUUGUAAACUUCUUUUAUAUGGGAAUAAAAUGUUCCACGUGUGGGAUUUUGUAUGUACCAUAUGAAUAAGGAUCGGCUAACUCCGUGCCAGCAGCCGCGGUAAUACGGAGGAUCCGAGCGUUAUCCGGAUUUAUUGGGUUUAAAGGGAGCGUAGGUGGAUUGUUAAGUCAGUUGUGAAAGUUUGCGGCUCAACCGUAAAAUUGCAGUUGAAACUGGCAGUCUUGAGUGCAGUAGAGGUGAGCGGAAUUCGUGGUGUAGCGGUGAAAUGCUUAGAUAUCACGAAGAACUCCGAUUGCGAAGGCAGUUCACUGGACUGCAACUGACACUGAGGCUCGAAAGUGUGGGUAUCAAACAGGAUUAGAUACCCCAGUAGUC